rnacentral:rRNA from 1 species
AUUGAACGCUGGCGGCAUGCUUUACACAUGCAAGUCGAACGAGUGGCGCACGGGUGAGUAAUACAUCGGAACGUGUCCUAUCGCAGGGGAUAACUGAUCGAAAGAUCAGCUAAUACCGCAUACGAUUGGCUCGGCCGAUGCCCGCUUAGCUAGUUGGUGAGGUAAAGGCUCACCAAGGCGACGAUCGGUAGCUGGUCUGAUAGGACGACCAGCCACACUGGGACUGAGACACGGCCCAGACUCCUACGGGAGGCAGCAGUGGGGAAUUUUGGACAAUGGGGGCAACCCUGAUGCAGCCAUGCCGCUUGCAGGAAGAAGGUCUUCGGAUUGUAAACUGCUUUUGUCGGGGAAGCGGUACCUGAAGAAUAAGCACCGGCUAACUACGUGCCAGCAGCCGCGGUAAUAC